GUUGCGGUUAAAAAGCUCGUAGUUGGAUCUCAGCUCAUGCUAAGUGGUCCACCUAAUGGUGGUUACUACUUAGCUGAGCAUUUUACAGAUUUGUCUCUUGAUGCUCUUCACCGAGUGUCAAGAGUGGUCUGUACGUUUACUUUGAAAAAAUUAGAGUGCUUAAAGCAGGCAACUCGCCCGAAUAAUCUUGCAUGGAAUAAUGGAAUAGGACCUUGGUUCUAUUUUGUUGGUCUCCGGAAUCUGAGGUAAUGAUUAAGAGGGACAGACGGGGGCAUUCGUAUUGCGCCGCUAGAGGUGAAAUUCUUGGACCGGCGCAAGACGAACUACAGCGAAAGCAUUUGCCAAGAAUGUUUUCAUUAAUCAAGAACGAAAGUUAGAGGUUCGAAGGCGAUCAGAUACCGCCCUAGUU
rnacentral:rRNA from 1 species